GACGAACGCUGGCGGCGUGCUUAACACAUGCAAGUCGAACGGAAAGGCCCUGCUUUUGUGGGGUGCUCGAGUGGCGAACGGGUGAGUAACACGUGAGUAACCUGCCCUUGACUUUGGGAUAACUUCAGGAAACUGGGGCUAAUACCGGAUAGGAGCUCCUGCUGCAUGGUGGGGGUUGGAAAGUUUCGGCGGUUGGGGAUGGACUCGCGGCUUAUCAGCUUGUUGGUGGGGUAGUGGCUUACCAAGGCUUUGACGGGUAGCCGGCCUGAGAGGGUGACCGGCCACAUUGGGACUGAGAUACGGCCCAGAAUCCUACGGGAGGCAGCAGUGGGGAAUAUUGCACAAUGGGCGGAAGCCUGAUGCAGCAACGCUGCGUGCGGGAUGACGGCCUUCGGGUUGUAAACCGCUUUCGCCUGUGACGAAGCGUGAGUGACGGUAAUGGGUAAAGAAGCACCGGCUAACUACGUG
rnacentral:rRNA from 1 species